UACAGAGGGUGCGAGCGUUGUCCGGAAUCACUGGGCGUAAAGGGCGCGUAGGCGGUCUCUUAAGCGUGUGGUGAAAGCCCGGGGCUCAACUCCGGGUCGGCCGUGCGAACUGGGGGACUGGAGCGUAUCAGAGGCGGGCGGAAUUCCGGGUGUAGCGGUGGAAUGCGCAGAUAUCAGGAAGAACACCCGUGGCUAAGGCGGCUCUCUAGUACGGUACUGACGCUGAGACGCGAAAGCGUGGGGAGCGAACAGG
rnacentral:rRNA from 1 species